rnacentral:rRNA from 1 species
AGCGGCGAACGGGUGAGUAACACGUGAGCAAUCUGCCCUUCUCUUCGGAAUAACCAUUGGAAACGAUGGCUAAUGCCGAAUAUGACCUCCUUUCGCAUGUUUGGAGGUGGAAAGCUCCGGCGGAGAAGGAUGAGCUCGCGGCCUAUCAGCUUGUUGGUGAGGUAAUGGCUCACCAAGGCAUUGACGGGUAGCCGGCCUGAGAGGGUGACCGGCCACACUGGGACUGAGACACGGCCCAGACUCCUACGGGAGGCAGCAGUGGGGAAUAUUGGACAAUGGGCGAAAGCCUGAUCCAGCAACGCCGCGUGAGGGAUGACGGCCUUCGGGUUGUAAACCUCUUUCAGCAGGGACGAAGCGAAAGUGACGGUACCUGCAGAAGAAGGACCGGCCAACUACGUGCCAGCAGCCGCGGUAAUACGUAGGGUCCGAGCGUUGUCCGGAAUUAUUGGGCGUAAAGGGCUCGUAGGCGGUUUGUCGCGUCGGGAGUGAAAACUCAGGGCUCAACCCUGAGCGUGCUUCCGAUACGGGCAGACUAGAGGUAUUCAGGGGAGAACGGAAUUCCUGGUGUAGCGGUGGAAUGCGCAGAUAUCAGGAGGAACACCGGUGGCGAAGGCGGUUCUCUGGGAAUUACCUGACGCUGAGGAGCGAAAGCAUGGGGAGCGAACAGGAUUAGAUACCCUGGUAGUCCAUGCCGUAAACGUUGGGCGCUAGGUGUGGGGACCUUCCACGGUUUCCGUGCCGCAGCUAACGCAUUAAGCGCCCCGCCUGGGGAGUACGGCCGCAAGGCUAAAACUCAAAGGAAUUGACGGGGGCCCGCACAAGCGGCGGAGCAUGCUGAUUAAUUCGAUGCAACGCGAAGAACCUUACCUGGGUUUGACAUA